rnacentral:rRNA from 1 species
GGACAUUCAAUGUAGUCUGCUGCUAUCUCUUACCCAUGUCUUUUGAGUACCUUACGUUUCUCGGUGGGUUCGCCCACCGAUUGGACAACUUAACCCUUUGCAGUUGAAAUCAGCGUCUGAAAAAACUUAAUAGUUACAACUUUCAACAACGGAUCUCUUGGGUUCUGGGCAUCGAUNAAAAACGCACGCGAAAUGCGAUAAGGUAGUGGUGAAUUGCCUGACACUCUCAGGUGAAUCCAUCGAGAGUCUUUGAAGCGCACAUUGNGCCCCUUGGGUAUUCCAUGGGGCAUGCCUGUUCGAGCGUCAUUUGUACCUUCAAGCUCUGCUUGGUGUUCGGGUGUUUGUCUCCUGUAGACUCGCCUUAAAACAAUUGGCCAGCCGGCGUAUUGAUUUCGGAGCGCAGUACAUCUCGCGCUUUGCACUCAUAACGACGACAUCCAACAAGUACAUUUUUACACUCUUGACCUACGCGAUCAGUAAGGAUACCCGGUNAAACUUAAAGGCCUUAUUCCGUUA